CCCACCCUCGGACCCCCAUCGAGGCCUUCUCCGACUGCCCCUCCGCCCUCGAGCUCGCCGCCGCCUGGGGCUUCGAUCUCUCCGCAGGAAAAAUCCCACCUUUUACCCCUCGGGACCAGGACCUUUCCCCUUGUAGUAGCAUUUCGGCGGCUCUUGAUUCGAUUCCGGCCGUCGAUCCGGUGCUCGGGAAUCUCCACGUCCCCUGUGCCAAGCGCCAGAAGAUCGGAAGGGGGUGGCAGGAACUACUGAGGCAGCUGGUGGAAUUGGCUGGAAGGGAGCCGGUCGCUGCUCCGGUGCCGGGCGAGCUCAGCCCGAGAACGCCAAGCAAUAACAAUGGCGGCCAGUACGAGAAAGAGAACCGCGUGGUGGAGCAUAUAGGAUUCACCUCGUUGCUUAAUUUGGACUUAUCAGCAUGCGCUGGUCUCAAAGGAAAUGAUAGGCUUCUGGAGGAUGAGGACUUGGUAUGGGAUUGUGGUCCUUCUGAACAUGUUACUCAGGUUCGCUGUUCUUCGCCAUUUCUAUCAAUUUAGCUCCUUUUUCAUGAAUCAAAGUUCCAAUCUUAAUUUUGAGUUGUGAGCUGUUCUUCAGGAUUUAUAUGAAUUUUGUUCUCUAGCAUGCAUUCUUGGAUUUAGUAAAAACUAAGGGAGAAAGACAAAUGUUUGAUUAAGAUUUAGUCUAGAAUAUUAAAUUAAGAGCAGGCAAAUGGAGCAUUAAAAGUUAAGAAUCUGCAUAGAUUCCUGCCUUCUCUGUGACUUGGGUUGUAUCCUGGUAUUUAACUCGCCAGGGAUGAGAUUGGGGUGAUGCAUGAUGUAUCAGCUCAUUCUUUUGAAUCAUUACUCAUGUUAAUUAAGGAAAGAAUUAUAAGGCAAGCAUGAAGACAUAAUUAGGUAACUCUAUGGGAGCCUCUAGAUUGGUUUCAUUCGAUAAGUACAUUAUAGAAAGACUUCUUCCAUGAAUGUUUUCUUCAUUUUCUUCUGAUUUGGGCACGGCUAAUGACAUCAACUGAAGCGGCUAUUGGUUCCGAUUCUCUUGAUAAUCGUCUCUUGGACGCACAUGGUAAGCACAUCCUGAGUGCAUAGUUUUUUGAGCAAAAUCCUGACUGCAUGACUUGAGCGAUUAGUCAUUUAUCGUUAUGAAUCUCUUACAAUACUAUGUUUGCGAGAGUUUCUCUUUAUUCUAGCAUUGUGUAUAACAAUAUCCAAAGGGUAACUCCUAUAAGUUAUCUCAGCCAUUUCAUUGCCCAUCAUGAAUUAGGCCCCGUUUGGGGGAGCUUUUGGAGGGCCAAAAAGCACUUUCUGACCCUUCAAAAAUACUUUUAGAUAAAAUAGAGGUGUUUAGUAAAAUUUUCAAAAAGCUGUUUUAGCUUUUCCAAAAAGCUAAAACAUCUUUUUGGACCAAAAUACCCAUAAUAAAAUAGAAUAAUUACACAAAAUAUCCCUUUAUAAGUAUAAAAAAUUAAUUUAUGCUAAUAAUUAUAAUAUUUUAUACAUUUAUUAUUGUAUUAUACUAUAAAUAUAAUAUUAUAUUACAUUAUAUCAUAACACAUUGAUAUGUUAUGUUAAAUAAUUUAAUACUAUAUUAAAUUAUUAUGCUAUAGUAUACAAUAUUAUAUUACAAUAUUAUAACAAUAUUAUAUUACAUUACACUAAUAUUAUAGUUUAUCAUAUAUUUAUGUAUUAAUACAUAUUAUAUUUUAUUAUACUCUGUUGUAUAAUACUAUGUAAUGUCCUUUAUGGUUAUUUUGUCAUACCAAAAGUACUUUCUCAGUUUGUUUACUCAUAUGUUAAAGUUCCACCAACACUCUAGAAAUGUAGUUACCAAACAACAAACAACUUUUUAUAAAAGGUCUACUUUCAAAAGCUCUACUUUCAAAAUUUCUACCGCCAACAGCUCCUCCAAACGGGGCCUUAAUGGGUUACAUAGUCAUAAAAUGAUACAUUAAUAAUAUAGUUAAUGGUUCACAAGGUCGGAGGUUCAAACCCUCCUAGUGAAUUUUUUUCAUCUAUAUAAUGCUGGAUUUGAUUUCUUUUUUUUAUCUAUAUAAUACUGAAUUUGAUUUCUUUUUCUUUUUCAUCUCAAUUUCGCUUCAUUCAAUUUCUUUUUCAUCCUGAUUUUGCUCUACUUUUCUUUUUCAUCUCAAGUUCUCUCCAUUCAAUUUCUUUUUUGGUCUUGAUUUUGCUUCUUUGCUUUUCAUCUGUAUAAUACUGAAUUCAAUUUCUUUAUUAUUAUCAACUUGGCUCCGUUUUUCAUCUCUAUAAUACUGAAUUCAAUUUCUUUUCUCAUCUUGAUUUGGCUACAAUUUCACAUUUCUUUUUUUCUGCCCUCUCCUUGCCUUUUGAGUUUAGUCUUGUUAUAAUCUGAAUCCAAUUCUAUCUAUGGCCUUGCAGAUAUGGGAUUUUAAUUUAGGAAGAUCAAGAAAUCAUGAUGAAUAUUAUCCGCACGAAGUUGGAUAUGGUACAAACAAUGCUGGUUUUAUGAUUAAUAGAUAUAGUGAUCUUCGUAAAGACAGUUCCUUUGCAACUACAAAGGUGAUGGAUUAUGUAUAUGACAUGAAUGGCCCUUCAGCAAUCGAGGAUAUCUUAUCUACUCAGAGUUACCACGUAUCAUCUCAUAAUGUAAAGCAUACAUCUAUUAUAUUUACUUAUUGGAAUGUGUAGUAACUUUGCGACAUCUAUGAAGUAUUUAUAUGCUUGAGGAUAUCUAUUUUCCAGUAGGUAUGCAUCUCGUUUAUCAGUAAAUGACCAGUAAAAGCAUAUAACAUCAGUUGCGUAGUGGAAGAGGGCUUCUCUCCGAAUUCUGGGGUUAGGUUUCGGGUUAGGAUUUCCGAGCUUUCUAGGUUUUUUUGCCGGAAAUGGGUGACGGCGGCCGCGGCGUGUCUGCCCUGUGCGACCACUGCGGCGAGGCGGCGGCCGUGCUCUACUGCUGCGCUGACACGGCGAAGCUCUGCCUCCCCUGCGAUGGCCUUGUCCACGCUGCCAACGCCCUCUCCCGCCGGCACGGCCGCUCCCCGCUCUGCGACAACUGCGCCGCUGCCGCUGCCGCCGCCCUCUGCGCCGUCGACGGCCUCGCCCUCUGUCCAGAAUGCGACUGGAACGCCCACUCCGCCCACCCUCGGACCCCCAUCGAGGCCUUCUCCGACUGCCCCUCCGCCCUCGAGCUCGCCGCCGCCUGGGGCUUCGAUCUCUCCGCAGGAAAAAUCCCACCUUUUACCCCUCGGGACCAGGAGCUUUCCCCUUGUAGUAGCAUUUCGGCGGCUCUUGAUUCGAUUCCGGCCGUCGAUCCGGUGCUCGGGAAUCUCCACGUCCCCUGUGCCAAGCGCCAGAAGAGCGGAAGGGGGUGGCAGGAACUACUGAGGCAGCUGGUGGAAUUGGCUGGAAGGGAGCCGGUCGCUGCUCCGGUGCCGGGCGAGCUCAGCCCGAGAACGCCAAGCAAUAACAAUGGCGGCCAGUACGAGAAAGAGAACCGCGUGGUGGAGCAUAUAGGAUUCACCUCGUUGCUUAAUUUGGACUUAUCAGCAUGCGCUGGUCUCAAAGGAAAUGAUAGGCUUCUGGAGGAUGAGGACUUGGUAUGGGAUUGUGGUCCUUCUGAACAUGUUACUCUAAUUUUAAUCUGCUAUUGUUUUCACCAUCAUUCUUAUUCCAUCUUUUCAUCAUAUUUCCCUGAAAUAUUUUUUUUAGUCAUGAAUUUUAUGAAGCAUCGGUGUCACUUCUAAACUUCAAGUUGAAACUUUUUCUUUUUCUUUUUCUAAAAAAAGCUUACCUGGUUCUACCAUUUUAUAGUGGAGCAUUCUUGCAGAAUAGAGAAAUUUAUAAGUUAGUUGCGCCUUUUAUUCAUGUAAUAAUAAUGGAUAUUGUUAGUGCUUGAAUUUUCUGUUUGUGCAAUUGGGUAGCUGUUCAUGAUAGUUUCAGGUUUGACACUUGAUUAUCUUCAAAAGUAACAACAUUCGAUCUUAAAACUAAGUAAAAAAGCAGAAGAGAAGAGUCCAUGACAAACUUUUUGGUAUUGUUGACAAAUUGGAUUAGAAGCAACUGGAUGAGCAGGUUUAGUUUGUUAAUCACAGAUAUCCAGCAUCAGAAGUCAUAUGGUCAAAUAUGCAUAGUGGAAACUAGAAAGUUCAGAAAUAUAGAGAUGACACACUGGGUAAUAACAGAGUUAUUCAAAACUUUCAAAUCCAAAAUGUCAAGAUCAAUUCAUUUGAAUUUGAUCACGGUUGAGGCUGCUGUAAAUCAUAAAUGAGAACCAGACUAACUUAAUGAAAUCAUAAAAUGAAGGUGAGUGUGUCUUUGCUGUAAUUAUAUAAGGUGUGGUCAUCUGAUCCCAGCUACUCCACAUUCUGUUGUGUUGCAUUGGGGAAGUUUGGAUGGCUGCAAUAUGUCUUUUAUAUGUCCCUAUGUUCACGUCACAAUUUGUUGCAAACUUCUUCUUUUUUUUUUGUACUCUGCGAAGUGUCACAUGAUUAUACCGAGAAAACAUCGGGGCAGAAAAUACUUUUUCAUGCAAGCAAUUAAAGGAUUGCUUUAAAUUAUUUGUUUUAUGGAUAAUUUAUCCGGGCAAUGAUUUUAUAGAUGCGGAUGAAAAAAGAAAAACAAAAGCACACAGAUCACUUUAUUUAGAAGCAAAACUCAGAUCACUCUCACUUGUGCUCCUCUCUCCUCUUCAGCUGAACAUGGCAGCAAGGACUGGUAAAUGGCAGAAUAAUGCGACCGAUUCAGCAAAACCCUCCGGAACUAAGACCUUGACUGGUUAUUUACAUGAUCCUGGACCUGUUGACAAAAGCAAGGAAAUUUCCUUUGGAGAACAAUCCUACUACAUCAGCAAUGGAACAGCAGAAGAAACUAAGAAAGCUGACAGUCAAUUAUUGGCUCACAACAGGGGACAAGGCUAUGUUGCGGUACAAAGAGAAGAGGACGAAUCGCAGGCAUGACAGCGUAGUGGAAGAGGGCUUCUCUCCGAAUUCUGGGGUUAGGUUUCGGGUUAGGAUUUCCGAGCUUUCUAGGUUUUUUUGCCGGAAAUGGGUGACGGCGGCCGCGGCGUGUCUGCCCUGUGCGACCACUGCGGCGAGGCGGCGGCCGUGCUCUACUGCUGCGCUGACACGGCGAAGCUCUGCCUCCCCUGCGAUGGCCUUGUCCACGCUGCCAACGCCCUCUCCCGCCGGCACGGCCGCUCCCCGCUCUGCGACAACUGCGCCGCUGCCGCUGCCGCCGCCCUCUGCGCCGUCGACGGCCUCGCCCUCUGUCCAGAAUGCGACUGGAACGCCCACUCCGCCCACCCUCGGACCCCCAUCGAGGCCUUCUCCGACUGCCCCUCCGCCCUCGAGCUCGCCGCCGCCUGGGGCUUCGAUCUCUCCGCAGGAAAAAUCCCACCUUUUACCCCUCGGGACCAGGAGCUUUCCCCUUGUAGUAGCAUUUCGGCGGCUCUUGAUUCGAUUCCGGCCGUCGAUCCGGUGCUCGGGAAUCUCCACGUCCCCUGUGCCAAGCGCCAGAAGAGCGGAAGGGGGUGGCAGGAACUACUGAGGCAGCUGGUGGAAUUGGCUGGAAGGGAGCCGGUCGCUGCUCCGGUGCCGGGCGAGCUCAGCCCGAGAACGCCAAGCAAUAACAAUGGCGGCCAGUACGAGAAAGAGAACCGCGUGGUGGAGCAUAUAGGAUUCACCUCGUUGCUUAAUUUGGACUUAUCAGCAUGCGCUGGUCUCAAAGGAAAUGAUAGGCUUCUGGAGGAUGAGGACUUGGUAUGGGAUUGUGGUCCUUCUGAACAUGUUAC
rnacentral:lncRNA from 1 species